CCUUACACAUGCAAGUCGAACGGCAGCACGGGAGCAAUCCUGGUGGCGAGUGGCGAACGGGUGAGUAAUACAUCGGAACGUGCCCAAUCGUGGGGGAUAACGCAGCGAAAGCUGUGCUAAUACCGCAUACGAUCUACGGAUGAAAGCAGGGUGACCGCAAGGCCUUGCGCGAAUGGAGCGGCCGAUGGCAGAUUAGGUAGUUGGUGGGGUAAAGGCUCACCAAGCCAACGAUCUGUAGCUGGUCUGAGAGGACGACCAGCCACACUGGGACUGAGACACGGCCCAGACUCCUACGGGAGGCAGCAGUGGGGAAUUUUGGACAAUGGGCGCAAGCCUGAUCCAGCCAUGCCGCGUGCAGGAUGAAGGCCUUCGGGUUGUAAACUGCUUUUGUACGGAACGAAAAGUCUCUUUCUAAUAAAGAGGGAUCAUGACGGUACCGUAAGAAUAAGCACCGGCUAACUACGUGCCAGCAGCCGCGGUAAUACGUAGGGUGCAAGCGUUAAUCGGAAUUACUGG
rnacentral:rRNA from 1 species